rnacentral:lncRNA from 1 species
CAGGCUUCCACAUUUCCACUACCGUCUAAAAUCCCCACACCUCUUCUCUCUGCUAGGUCUCAAACAGAACCCAAGGCUUCUUGGCUCAGGAAAGGUUUAUAGAGUAGAAUUGACAGAGGAGGAGAAAGGCCUACAGUCUACUCACCAUAUUCCCAGAAUCUCCUUGCUUUACUCCUUGUGAGAGUUCUCCAGCUCACGUCUCUCUUUUACACUAGUCUCCUGAACUCAUUUACAGCCUUCACCUGGCUGCCGGGAAUCUACUACUUAAAAAGAAGAAGAAGGAAUAGGAGGAAGGGGAGGAGAAAAGGAUCUUAAAAAACUGCCACCUUCUGUUCCUCAUCUCAAAGUCCUGAUCAGUUCCUACUGAUAAGAAAACAAGAAAAACAAAUGGCCAUGAAGGUUCAAAUUCCUGAGUUAGAGAGAAACACUGGAGUUAAGAGGCUAAAGAUGGUUCGUUUGCAGGAUUCUACAGCUUCUCCCUCACUUAGGCCAUGGUAUUUUCUAAAGAUGGAAGCACGCACAUGGAUCUUAUGCUAAUAUGAUCACACAGAAAAUAUGCUACAAGAUCUAAGAUGAAGGAGCAGCCCCUAUUUGGAGCACACUCUUCUUAUGAAAGAGGAAAAAUGUAAGAGAACUGGCAUAGACACUCAACUCUUAAGCCAUCUGCUCGUAAGUGGCAUAGGUCAUGUCCAGUCACACGUCAAUGGCCAAUGCAAGUUAAAUGGCCAAACCCAAAGCUACUGGCACAGGAAUGUAUGUCCCAUCAG